GGACAUCUCGAGAGGUGAAAACAAUCUUGCAACGUUAAAAGCCAUGAGAGAUCAAUCACCUUCUCCACAGUUAGAACUUGACAUAACCAGAAUGUGAAAGGAAUUAGCGCUGUAUUCUCAGGAAAAGCUUUGUCACGAGGCUCAAAUAUUAAGGGUGCCUAGUCACCGAAAUACGUGGAGACGGAUUGCAAAAGAGGAAGAGAAGGGCGUGUACUUGAACAAAUCGAGGCAGAGAUGUCGAAAUACUGCAGAGUGGGAGCAGAGGCCAGCGCAAGAGAGAAUGUUAGUGGACUACACUUUUUAUACCAUGCUUCCGACAUGAUUCAUGAUGCCUUAAAGAAGUUUAUUUUUCCCUGGAGAUUGUUAGAUUCGACACGAAGCUGGCUAAUGAAGAUGUGACUAUGCUUGCAUUUAUAUCUGAAGAGAUCACAGCCCCUUUUCUACUCCCUGAGAUGGUUGAGAGGGUUGCGAAUAUGCUUAAUUACUUCUUGCUACAACUCGUGGGUCCACAACAUAAGUCUUUAAGCUUGAAAGAUCCUGAGAAGUACGAGUUCCAGUCCAUGACAGUUGCUUAAACAGCUGUUAAACGCAGGAGCAGAUGUGCUUAGGAGAAUAGGUGAAGAUGGAAGAAUCAUUCAAGAGUUUAUGGAGUUGGGCUCAAAGGCCAAAGCUGCUGCUUCCUAAGCUUUGGAUGCUGAAGCUGCACUUGGUGAAAUACCAGAAGAGUUCCUCGACCCUAUUCAGUACACGCUAAUGAGAGAUCCAGUGAUACUUCCAAGCUCAAACACCACAGUUGAUCUAGCCAUCAUUCAACGUCAUCUUCUCAAGUGACAAUGUAAGCAAAUCUUAACGCAUUUAAUUACUCAUUUAGAUAUCUAUAGUCAUUUAAGGGUGUUGGCUUUGUAUCUGAUCAUGUUGGUUCUGCUGACAUCGGGUGAGUUGAAAGCGAGAAUCGAUGCGAUCGCAUCAGUCUAAGAAACGGGCAAGUGGAGAAGAUGGCAGCAGCAGCAACAAGGAAAGGAUACAGAGUACGAGUAGUGAUAUGUUAAUCGAUUUGUCAAUGUAUAUAUCAAACAAAAUUAGCAACCCUCUUUUAUUAACCUUUGGUUAGGCUUUCCUUAUUAUUAGGAUUGUUACUUAUUUUGCGCUCUUAAGUGUUUUUGUUUAGGGAUUGUUGUUUCCAAAUACCAUUUAUUUGAUGUCAUGGGAAAAAGACUUGCUUCAUCCUCAUAUCUGAGGUCCUGUACUUUUAGUUUAAAUUAUUUCCAAAUUUAUCUUCCCCUUUGAUCCUCCAAAUCUGGCCGGCGGGGUUACAGCUAAACGCUAUGACUUUGAAGUUUCAUCUCGGUGGACGCUUCAUCACUUCAUUCACUUCCUGGAGUGGAAGGGUCAUCAUCAACGAGUCCUUGGUGAACCGGAGCGAUGAAAACUGAGAAUGCACAUGGAGUUGCUUCCAGCUGUUUACACCAGAAGGCGAUGGAAACAUGCCCUUUCUCUUUCUAACCAAAAGUCAGAGGAAUCUGCAGUCUCUUUAGAUUUCAUCAUAUAUGAUGCUUUGUAACAU